rnacentral:rRNA from 1 species
UACGUAGGGUGCAAGCGUUAAUCGGAAUUACUGGGCGUAAAGCGUGCGCAGGCGGCUUUGCAAGACAGAUGUGAAAUCCCCGGGCUUAACCUGGGAACUGCAUUUGUGACUGCAUGGCUGGAGUGCGGCAGAGGGGGGAUGGAAUUCCGCGUGUAGCAGUGAAAUGCGUAGAUAUGCGGAGGAACACCGAUGGCGAAGGCAAUCCCCUGGGCCUGCACUGACGCUCAUGCACGAAAGCGUGGGGAGCGAACAGG